rnacentral:rRNA from 1 species
GACGAACGCUGGCGGCGUGCUUAACACAUGCAAGUCGAACGGAAAGGCCCUGCUUUUGUGGGGUGCUCGAGUGGCGAACGGGUGAGUAACACGUGAGUAACCUGCCCUUGACUUUGGGAUAACUUCAGGAAACUGGGGCUAAUACCGGAUAGGAGCUCCUGCUGCAUGGUGGGGGUUGGAAAGUUUCGGCGGGUGGGGAUGGACGCGCGGCUUAUCAGCUUGUUGGUGGGGGAGUGGCUUACCAAGGCUUUGACGGGUAGCCGGCCUGAGAGGGUGACCGGGCACAUGGGGACUGAGAUACGGACCAGACGCCUACGGGAGGCAGCAGUGGGGAAUAUUGCACAAUGGGCGGAAGCCGGAUGCAGCAACGCCGCGUGCGGGAUGACGGCCUUCGGGUUGUAAACCGCUUUCGCCUGUGACGAAGCGUGAGUGACGGUAAUGGGUAAAGAAGCACCGGCUAACUACGUG